rnacentral:lncRNA from 1 species
GGUAUAAGGAAAAAAUCCCUUUCCCUAGAGACAUAACUAAGGGAUUAUGCACCAAUAAUUUAAUCAAAGCUUUAAAACCUCAAGCAAGCACCUAUCAGAUUUCCUAUCCACAGCCAGUUUGGCACAGGCUGUAUUUAGAUUUGGAUUUUACUUCCAGACCAACUUGGCAGGGAUGCAGCAAAGCAAACACAUCUACAGGAGCCGCUCACAGACCAUGAACACUUUGUCUUCUCCUUCAUUCACACACCUUAACUUUGGCUGAAUGGGAAUUCAGCUCCAGGCUCCACAAAGCCUCCCAUGUGCUUUCCUUUACCUGCUGUCAGUGGUCCCACCUCCUUUAAAGCUUAAGCACAUGCCUAAGUCUUUGCACAUUUAAGGGAAAGAGCCAUGCUGCUGUGAAGCAGGGACCGGGCAACAUGUGUCUAAAUCUGACAACGCUGAUGCACAUCUCAAUUUUGGUUUUGUUCUUCCAGAAAUCAUAUAUUUUCCUCAUCUUGAAUUAGAACAUGGUUAGCACCAGCAGCAGGAGGGUGCAGGUAGGGAACUCAGAGGGGAGGAGCAUGGUUUAUAGUCACUGGCUUACUGCAGCAGCUGGAAUUGAGAAAGGGCACUCACCUUGUCAGGGAGGGAUGAAGAGGCCAAUCCUCCUGAGCAGCCCUGGCUCUGGGUUGGGGUGAAGAUGGGAAGCAGAUGUUGAAGCACAGGAGGCUGGAUCAUUUCUAAAAUGAAAACAAAACCAUAUGGUGAGGUAGGGAACACAACACUGGUCUUGGCUUUGGGUAUAAAGGAAGGGAAAUCACACAGAAUUAGUAUUACUUGGGAUUACAAUAGAGGUGGAAAGCUGGGAGCCACAGGGGCAUUUCAUAACAUAAAUGUAUCAGUAGACUUUAUGCAGAAGUCACUUUUGAAAUCUCCAUAUGACUAAGCUGUGCAUCUGUUAUAUUUGUACUGCCUGCAGAUAAAGCUAUAAUGUACAUUAAAAUGUAAUUGAACGAAGGAUAAAAUGAUAUAACCAUGCACUGUAUAAGAUUUAUUAAAAUAGUUAAGUUAUACUUAUAA